rnacentral:rRNA from 1 species
AUUGAACGCUGGCGGCAUGCCUUACACAUGCAAGUCGAACGGUAACGCGGGGCAACCUGGCGACGAGUGGCGAACGGGUGAGUAAUAUAUCGGAACGUGCCCAGUCGUGGGGGAUAACGUAGAGAAAUUUACGCUAAUACCGCAUACGAUCUAUGGAUGAAAGCGGGGGAUCGCAAGACCUCGCGCGAUUGGAGCGGCUGAUAUCAGAUUAGGUUGUUGGUGGGGUAAAAGCCCACCAAGCCGACGAUCUGUAGCUGGUUUGAGAGAACGACCAGCCACACUGGGACUGAGACACGGCCCAGACUCCUACGGGAGGCAGCAGUGGGGAAUUUUGGACAAUGGGCGCAAGCCUGAUCCAGCAAUGCCGCGUGCAGGAAGAAGGCCUUCGGGUUGUAAACUGCUUUUGUACGGAACGAAACAGCUCUUUCUAAUAAAGAGGGCUAAUGACGGUACCGUAAGAAUAAGCACCGGCUAACUACGUGCCAGCCGCCGCAGUAA